rfam:Schistosoma mattheei strain Denwood, Zambia genome assembly, scaffold: SMTD_scaffold0006377
AUCCACCUGACGAGUCCCUAAUAAGACGAAACGCGCGUCCUGGAU